rnacentral:rRNA from 1 species
AACGAACGCUGGCGGCGCGUUUUAAGCAUGCAAGUCGAAUGAAAAGUCCACUUCGGUGGAUGGACCAUGGCGAACGGGUGAGUAACACGUAGGUAAUCUGCCUUUGGGAUGGGGAUAACCCAUGGAAACAUGGAAUAAUACCGAAUGAAGUAGUUUUUUCAAUGAUUAAGCUAUGAAAGGAGCUUCGGCUCCGCCUGAAGAUGAGCCUGCGGCUCAUUAGCUAGUUGGUAGGGUAAAGGCCUACCAAGGCAACGAUGAGUAGCCGACCUGAGAGGGUGACCGGCCACAUUGGGACUGAGAUACGGCCCAGACUCCUACGGGAGGCAGCAGCUAAGAAUCUUCCGCAAUGGGCGAAAGCCUGACGGAGCGACGCCGCGUGAAUGAUGAAGGCCGAGAGGUUGUAAAGUUCUUUUCCUGGGGAGGAAUAAUGAGAGGAGGAAAUGCCUUUCAGAUGACGUCAACCA